rnacentral:rRNA from 1 species
AUUGAACGCUGGCGGCAGGCCUAACACAUGCAAGUCGAGCGAGUGGCGGACGGGUGAGUAAUGUAUGGGGAUCUGCCCGAUAGAGGGGGAUAACUACUGGAAACGGUCGCUAAUACCGCAUACUCUCGGAUGAACCCAUCUGGGAUUAGCUGGUAGGUGGGGUAAAGGCUCACCUAGGCGACGAUCUCUAGCUGGUUUGAGAGGAUGACCAGCAACUCGGGGACUGAGACACGGCCCAGACUCCUACGGGAGGAAGCAGUGGGGAAUAUUGCACAAUGGGCGCAAGCCUGAUGCAGCCAUGCCGCGUGUAUGAAGAAGGCCUUAGGGUUGUAAAGUACUUUCAGCGGGGAGGCGUUACCCGCAGAAGAAGCACCGGCUAACUCCGUGCCAGCAGCCGCGGGAAUUC